UUAUUUUAUAUAUAUGUCUACAUUAAUUCGUGUGUAUAUUUCAAUACAUUGAUUUUUAUUUGCCUGUACAUAUAUAUAUACAAGGUUAAUAAGUAUUUAACACGUGACAAAUUUAACAGGCAAUACACGUUAUACUGAUAAUUGUGUUGGUUAUUACUAUAAAUAUCUACCAAGAACAUUAUCCUCGUAAACUCGAGCUCUGGUUCGUCAAGAAAAGGUGGCCUGACCUAAGGGAACCCGCUAUGUAGACACAUCAUUUUAUUACAACAUAAAUGUAUAUGUACAUAUAAGCGUAUAUUGAUAAAUACAAUUGACGAUAAACGAUUGUCAAUUAUGAAAUAAUAUAGUGAAAGUUUAAAUUAUUAUUUAUAUUUAUGUUUUAUGUUAACAUUUUAAAUAUUCGAGUAUUUUAACUCUCAGUUUUAUUUAAAUUUUUAAAUUAUUUAGUUUUUGUUUAUUCGUUGAGGUUAUUGUUUAUAAAGUUAUAUUAUAAAUAUUUAAAAAUGGAAAAUACAAUAAUACCACCCCAUGUAUCUAGGCAAUAUUUAGUUGUUAAUGAAGAAACUAGUGGCUCAAGUAAUAGUGUAAUUCAAAAAAAUCAAAGUGACAAACAAGAAAUAAAAUCGGUAACUAUGACAGAAUGGGUCACUGUUGUCAUAUUAUGUUUUGUUAAUUUGAUUAAUUAUAUGGACCGUACAACAAUUGCAGGAAUAUUACCAGAGAUACAGGAAGCAUUGAAAAUAGCAAAUGGAUCCACUGGUUUAUUACAAACAGCAUUUAUCGUUAGCUACAUGAUAUUUGCACCAUUAUUCGGUUAUCUUGGUGACAGAUAUAACAGAAAAAUAAUAAUGAGUGCUGGUGUAUUUAUUUGGAGCUUGACGACUUUCCUUGGCUCUUGUAUGAAGACAUUUGAAGGAUUUAUUGCGUUGAGAAUGUGCGUUGGUAUUGGAGAAGCGAGUUAUUCAACAAUAGCACCAACGAUAAUAAGUGACUUGUUUGUAAAAGACACUAGAUCUAAAAUGUUAGCGUUAUUUUACUUCGCAAUACCUGUAGGAAGUGGUCUGGGAUAUAUUACCAGUGGUAAAAUAGCACAGGCAACUGGCAAAUGGCAGUGGGGAUUAAGGAUAACUCCUGUAUUAGGAAUAAUUGCUAUUAUUUUAAUUUUAUUAUUCGUCAGAGACCCAGCAAGAGGUGAAAAAGAAGGCGGGUCACAUAUUUCUAGUACUUCGUGGUCCAUUGACGUUAAAGAGUUGUUAAAAAACCGAAGUUUCAUGUUAUCAACGGGAGGAUUCACAUGCGUAGCAUUUGUUACCGGUGCAUUAGCACUAUGGGCGCCAAAAUUUUUACAAUUAGGUUUACAAUUACAAAAUUCAAAUUCACUAGACAUUGAUGAUGUAUCAUUUGUCUUCGGAUUGAUAGCAAUGUUAGCUGGUCUCUUUGGAGUUCCGAUGGGUUCAAUAAUGGCCCAGAAGCUCAGAGUGUGCUAUCAUCAAGCAGAUCCGCUUAUCUGUGCCGUUGGAUUGUUCAUAAGUGUUCCAUUAAUAUUCUUUGCUAUCGUAACAGCCAAUACUAAUUCAACUUUAUGUUUUAUUCUCAUUUUCUUUGGACAAUUAGCUCUUAAUCUCACUUGGUCUAUCGUUGCUGAUAUUUUAUUGUAUGUCGUAAUACCAACGAGAAGAUCUACAGCUGAAGCAUUUCAAAUUUUAGUGGCGCAUGCGCUUGGUGAUGCUGGUAGUCCAUACUUAAUUGGAUUGAUGUCUGAAGGAUUAAACCCAGCAUUGACACCACUAGGACCAUUUGAUGAAUUCGCUGCCUUGGCGGAGUUCCGUUGCCUGCAGUACUCGUUAUUCGUCACGAUCUUCGUAGAAGUUAUUGGAGGUUUCUUCUUCUUACUUACUGCAUUGCACAUUGAGAAAGACAAAGCUGUUGUUGAUCUCACCUUGGCGGCCGAAUGUCUAAAUGCUAAGAAUAAUGGGCAAGCAGAAUCAACGCGUUUGUAGAAAAAAUAUAAUUCACCAAUGGGCCCUCACCUGACUAGUUAUGCUCCGUAAUAUGAUAAAAACGAAGCUGAGACAUCGCUAGUAGGUAAUGGAGAAGACAAUGAAAGAUAAUAAUUAUAAAUAUACAGUAAAUGUUAAUUAUUAAUUAAUGACUGAUAGAUUAGUGCAAAUAAUUAAUUAUACUUAGUUAGUAAUCAAUUAUUACUAGUUACUAUAAUUAAUUAAUUUAUUCGGAAUUAUUUUAUGACUUUUUUCAUUUUGUAUUAAUCAGUUGUAUUAUCAAUUCUCAUAAAUAUUUUUUUUUUAUAUUUAUGUUCAUUGUUUUGAUCUUGUAGAAAAUUUUUUGACGUCUAGGCGUUUUUUUUUUAAAUUAGCAUUGUCUUGUUUGACAAAGGCUGUGCAUUGGUGGUCCCAAAAAAUUUUAUUUUAUGUAAUCCAAGGAAUUAUUUA